rnacentral:rRNA from 1 species
AUGGCCAAAUAUUUUUGGAGUAGCUCUCUUGACAAGAAAUCAUUGCAUUGGGUGUCCUGGAAGGAGCUAGCUACACCCAAGUGCAAGGGCGGGAUGGGGUUCAGAGACCCGCAUCUUUUCAAUCUUGCUAUGCUGGGCAAACAAGGAUGGCGAUUCCUCACCAACCCGAGUUCCCUAUGUGCAAGAGUUCUGAAGGGUCGUUACUUCCCCGACACUGACUUCAUGAAUGCUACUAUACCAAAGUCAGCGUCGGCCACAUGGAGGGCGAUCAUGGCGGGGAGGGAAGCCCUUCGAUCCGGACUGAUCUUUCGAGUGGGCGAUGGCUCCUCCAUAUCAGCCUGGAACGAUAAAUGGAUCCCAGGUACAAUAUCUAUGUCUCCUAUGUUUCGGCCUCAACAUACAACUAUUGAGCAUGUGUCUGAGCUUAUUGAUCCAUCUAACUGGUCGUGGAGACAAGAGCUUGUUCGGAAUAAUUUCAUUGCGCCUGAUGUUGAAGCAAUAUUGAACAUCCCUAUUCGGCAAGGAGGUGGAGAUGAUUUUCUUGCAUGGGCAUUUGAAAGAUCGGGGAACUACACUGUGAAGUCGGCGUACCGUGCUCUCGUGACUCAGAAAGAGCGUGUUGCUCUAGAGGAAGGGACGGCUACCGGGACCUCAGAGGAUAAUACACAGAUGUGGAAAUCCCUAUGA